AAUACAAAUCCGCUAGCGCUAGAUUCUGAGCCAGCAAAAAUAUACACCUCUCUUCUUUUAAUUUCAAUGUUGUCAUUUAUUGUCAAAUCAAUUUGACAUAUCGAUAUGAACAACUUUUGACAGCGCUGUCACGCGACCACAUUGUUUACACACCGGCAGAUGAGCAAACAGCAAGCAACACACUCUUAUAAUUAAUUUGUUUUUUCAGUGCGAAUCGAUUAAAACAAUGCUGCUAAUAGCUGAGGAGGUGUAUCACAACAACAAAAACAAAGCAUGAUAGAACAAUAAAAGGACUGCGGAUAGAAUUGUACAUCGAAGUGUAUAUUUAUUCAUUAUAUGAUGACAUUGUCGGGCGAGAAGAAAGGGAAGCGAAAAUGAAUGGUGGGAGGGGAAGCCAGGUAGGUGCGGUGAGGAGAAACGAGUGAGAGGGCACUCAAAAAGCACUCAAAAUCACUCACGAGAGAUUUCAUUUCCCUUAACAAGUAUAGUGUUGUUAAGGGACUUCUUAAGGGACUUGUUAAGGGAGUUCUUUGCAGCGGGAUCCCCUCAUUCUCAAUGCCGCGUUUUUGGCUAAUCCUCGCUCCCACCCUUUCUUUCCUUCUCCUCAACGGACCCACCAUUCCCGCGAGCGUAGACCGAUCAAAAAAUUCCAGGAAAUUCGGGCAGUAAUUGUGCAGUUUUUUAUUCACAGAGCUAUUCGGGAAUAUUUCAAUUCUUGGUGGUGCGUGCUGGACGAACGAAACGUUGGCUGCUUUCUCCACCGAUAGCGCUUGCUGUUGGAAGAGAAACACUUGCUGUUUGAUGCGUUUGCCUGAGGAAUGAAAGAUAAAUCGAGCAUUAGAAUGGUGAACAAAACUAGUAAGGCCGCGGGACCAUGGGGAUUCUCAGCGCUCAUUUUCUCAAGCACUCAUGAGUCGGAACAAAAUCGGUUUUGAGAAUCUUUGAGAAUCUUUGAGAAGGUUGACGAUGCAGCGAUCGGUUAACUGAAAUAUGGAGAAUUGUGCUAUUUGUUUAUAGGAAAUCACUUUGGAAAAUGUAUUCAAUGUUUAUAAUUGAAAACGUUAAAAAAAAUGCGAUUAAAAACUGUUUUUCUAUUUAAAGCUCUAAAUAAAGCUUGAGUGUCUAUAUCAGUCUCUCAGGGUGAGAAAAAACUGACGACGGCCACCCCUCCCGACAAUGGCACUCAAAUUCGCUCAUUUUGUCAUGCCCCCCUCCCAACAAUGGCACUCAAAUUCUCUCAUUUUCUCAUGCCCUCUCUGUCACAUUCGUAGCUCGAUCUCCUUCUUCUGGGAUUUAGCGUUCUGAGCAAGGACCGUAAAGAUAUCAGGUCAAGUUAUAAGCCCGUUUUGACAGCUAGGUGGAAGAAGAAUCGACGAAGAAAACUGACAGUUAGUUUUCCGCUUUUGACGAACGCUUCAAGUUCUCGAAGAAAAAUUUCCAUUUUAAAUCACGGACUGUGUUCUAAUAAACUAAAAUAUUCACCCAAAUUGAUCUCCACCAAAUAUUGACCAUGCAAAACGUAAACAAUCCAUCAAUACAUAUACAAGCGGAAAACCAUCUGUCAAAAUCGGAGCCCAGGGGGGGGAUCGCCAAAAGCGCUAUAACUACACCUCAUUAUACAUUCCACCUUGGUUCUGAGCAUGCGGUUUUUGCAACGGCCAUUUCGUGCCGCUUCGAUCUCAUCACCUUCUCUCCCCUCCCACCUUCCUUUUUGAUCCCCGCUUUGGGGUUUGCAAAUUUUUGACAUGUCAAAUGAGAGUGAAGCCAAAAUGUAAACAGCAAGUGUUUGCGUGUGCGGCGAUCUUUUGAGUAUUUUGUGCAAAUUAUGUGAUAUUUCUUAUAAAAAACGUUUUGUUUUGUAGAUUAAACAUAAAACUAACCACGACAGUAUUAUUUAGUUGUGGUGGAAGCCAAAAAAAUAGCUUGGAGCAUUCAAUAAAGCAGGAUGAAAUUUUUAACCUUCAAGCACGACGCUGACGCUGAGGUAAGGUGUGCUUGUGUUUAAUUUCGAUGAUAGUUUCAUUUUAGGGUGUGAUUUGUGCCAUAUAACCUUUUCUGACGGGGAUUCUUUAGUCGACAUCGUCUGCAGCUGUUAAGCGGUGCAGAGGAAGGGGCUCGCUACGACCCUUCCCACACCCGGACGCUUUUUCCGGGGAUGAAGGAAAUGUUCCCGGCUAUAUGCGCAAAAUCUAACGGUAACCCGUGUUGUGAACGAAUCGGCAUAUGCGGUGCCGGACACUGUGGAAAUUGUACACAACGGGACGAUGUCCAGGCACGACACAAGAGUACGAUUACAUGCAACUGAUCUGCUGCAAGGAAAGGAUUUCGACGUGUGGAACAAGGAUGUGCUGAAUGCGUUCCUGAUCGAUAUCACGUGGAUAAUUCUACUGCGACUAUAAGGGAUACUUGCUGGAUUGUAUUCGUGACAGGGCCGGCCAGAAGGGUGUGGGCAAGUUGACGGAAAUUGUCGCAAUGUACCAUAGCGUUCCGGUGAUGCCAAAAGACGAAGCAGACUUCUCCAGCUACUUAUCCACGCCGAAGGAUGAACGUGCUCAGGGCAGCAAACAACUCGCCGGAGCACGGAGCGCGAAAGGCAUCGUACGCGCAAGGCUUCAUGCUGCUGCGCGAAGCGGAUGUAUGGCGUUGCUUGCUUGUACUUAAACAUAUACAUCUUUGAGUUGUAUGAGUCCCGUAAAUGGUCAUGACUUGAAAACAUACGUUCCCAUUAGACCUCAUCAAUAGAUCAUUUAAUAAACGACGGCGCUGUAUUGAAAGCGGUUCAUGGUAGACCUCAAAACUGGUUAGCACUUGAUAAAAAGUUCUACACAAGGACACUCCUGGGAACUACUCGUCGAAGCAUCGGGAGCUCGUCCGACGUUUGAUGUCAUGAUUAUCUAAAAUAAUAGGUACAGAUUUACCGGAAGCCGAACAACUAUUUCACUAACUAAUACGAGCUGGAAUAGGAAAAAACGUAAAUCCGGAACUGAUUUUUAGCUACUCAAAACGACGCCACUUGUCGACUUGUUAUUGUUCAAUAAAACGCAUGCAAACCAAA